CAGGCCUAACACAUGCAAGUCGAACGGUAGCAGGAAGCAGCUUGCUGCUUCGCUGACGAGUGGCGGACGGGUGAGUAAUGUCUGGGAAACUGCCUGAUGGAGGGGGAUAACUACUGGAAACGGUAGCUAAUACCGCAUAACGUCGCAAGACCAAAGAGGGGGACCUUCGGGCCUCUUGCCAUCGGAUGUGCCCAGAUGGGAUUAGCUAGUAGGUGGGGUAACGGCUCACCUAGGCGACGAUCCCUAGCUGGUCUGAGAGGAUGACCAGCCACACUGGAACUGAGACACGGUCCAGACUCCUACGGGAGGCAGCAGUGGGGAAUAUUGCACAAUGGGCGCAAGCCUGAUGCAGCCAUGCCGCGUGUAUGAAGAAGGCCUUCGGGUUGUAAAGUACUUUCAGCGGGGAGGAAGGUGUUGAGGUUAAUAACCUCAGCAAUUGACGUUACCCGCAGAAGAAGCACCGGCUAACUCCGUGCCAGCAGCCGCGGUAAU
rnacentral:rRNA from 1 species